rnacentral:rRNA from 1 species
UACGUAGGCAGCAAGCGUUGUUCGGAAUUACUGGGCGUAAAGAGUGUGUAGGCGGUGCUCUAAGUUCGGUGUGAAAUCUCCCGGCUCAACUGGGAGGGUGCGCCGGAAACUGGGGUGCUGGAGCGCGGGAGAGGAAAGCGGAGUUCCUGGUGUAGCGGUGAAAUGCGUAGAUAUCAGGAGGAACACCGGCGGUGUAGACGGCUUUCUGGACCGUAGCUGACGCUGAGACACGAAAGCGUGGGUAGCAAACAGG